UACGAAGGGGGCGAGCGUUGUUCGGAUUUACUGGGCGUAAAGGGCGCGUAGGCGGCCGAUCAAGUCAGGCGUGAAAGCCCCGGGCUCAACCUGGGAAUGGCGCUUGGGACUGGUUGGCUUGAGUUCGGGAGAGGAGAGUGGAAGUUCCCAGUGUAGAGGUGAAAUUCGUAGAUAUUGGGGAAGAACACCGGUGGCGAAGGCGGCUCACUGGCCCGGUACUGACGCUGAGGUGGCGAAAGCGUGGGGAGCAAACAGGA
rnacentral:rRNA from 1 species